AGCGAACGCUGGCGGCAUGCUUAACACAUGCAAGUCGCACGGUCGGGCUUUCGGGGCUCGGUAGUGGCGGACGGGUGAGUAUCGCGUAGGGAUUUGUCGUUGGGUGGGGAUAACCUUGGGAAACGUGGGCUAAUACCGCAUGACGCCUGUGGGCCAAAGCUUUGGCGCCUGACGGAGGAGCCUGCGUCCGAUUUAGGUAGUUGGUUGGGUAACGGCUGACCAAGCCUGCGAUCGGUAGCUGGCUGAGAGGAUGAUCAGCCACACUGGGACUGCGACACGGCCCAGACUCCUACGGGAGGCAGCAGUUAGGAAUCUUGGGCAAUGGGCGCAAGCCUGACCCAGCAACGCCGCGUGGGUGACGAAGGCCUUCGGUCGUAAAG
rnacentral:rRNA from 1 species